UACGGAGGGUGCGAGCGUUAAUCGGAAUUACUGGGCGUAAAGCGCGCGUAGGCGGUCAGGCAAGUCGGGUGUGAGAGCCCUGGGCUCAACCUGGGAAUUGCAUUCGAAACUAUCUGACUCGAGUAUGGGAGAGGGAAGCGGAAUUUCCGGUGUAGCGGUGAAAUGCGUAGAUAUCGGAAGGAACACCAGUGGCGAAGGCGGCUUCCUGGACUAAUACUGACGCUGAGGUGCGAAAGCGUGGGGAGCAAACAGG
rnacentral:rRNA from 1 species